CCUACGGGAGGCAGCAGUAGGGAAUAUUGCUCAAUGGGGGAAACCCUGAAGCAGCAACGCCGCGUGGAGGAUGAAGGUUUUCGGAUUGUAAACUCCUUUUGUUAGAGAAGAUAAUGACGGUAUCUAACGAAUAAGCACCGGCUAACUCCGUGCCAGCAGCCGCGGUAAUACGGAGGGUGCAAGCGUUACUCGGAAUCACUGGGCGGAAAGAGCGCGUAGGCGGGAUAGCAAGUCAGAUGUGAAAUCCUAUGGCUCAACCAUAGAACUGCAUUUGAAACUGUUAUUCUAGAGUAUGGGAGAGGUAGGUGGAAUUCUUGGUGUAGGGGUAAAAUCCGUAGAGAUCAAGAGGAAUACUCAUUGCGAAGGCGACCUGCUAGAACAUAACUGACGCUGAUGCGCGAAAGCGUGGGGAGCAAACAGGAUUAGAUACCCUAGUAGUC
rnacentral:rRNA from 1 species